rnacentral:rRNA from 1 species
UACAGAGGUCUCAAGCGUUGUUCGGAUUCAUUGGGCGUAAAGGGCGCGUAGGCGGCCACCGCAAGUCGACUGUGAAAUCUCCGGGCUUAACUCGGAAAGGUCAGCCGAUACUGCGGGGCUAGAGUGCAGAAGGGGCAACUGGAAUUCUCGGUGUAGCGGUGAAAUGCGUAGAUAUCGAGAGGAACACCUGCGGCGAAGGCGGGUUGCUGGGCUGACACUGACGCUGAGGCGCGAAAGCUAGGGGAGCGAACGGG